UCCACAUCACUCCCAGAUAUUUUCGCUCCACCACUUUCCGAACGUUUCUCUGCAACUCUUCUCCCCCCUCGCUUUCUCUCUCUUGAACUCUUCUAUCGUUUGUCUUUCUCUCUCUUCCAUUUCUUUUACUCUCGCAUCUAUCUUCCUCUCUCUAUCUUCUUGCCCCUUCUCUGUGCUUUUUUACGCUUGCAUUCACUCUGCAACUUCUUAGUGUCUCUCUGGUGCCAAAAUGGAAAGAGACGAAGUAUCGCAAGUUUGCAACAUGAGAGCUCCCCAGAAGAUCAUUCAUCCUACUAUUAAUCUCUUACCGUUCUGCAAUGGUGCUUAAAUGGUGUGAGAUGGGGAAAGAACAAACUUCUGAUUGAGAUUGAAGAUUCGAAGUAAGCACUUAAAGGCCAGGCCUUCAAUUCCAGUUUGUUUGCAUGCAUACGCCUAGACAUGGUAGAUUGGGGUUGCAAUAGAUUGUCAGUUUUUAGCACUUUAAAAGGUAUGGAGACGUUGAUUGCAAGGAAAUGAAAAUCCUUUUGUUUAUCUGUUUUACUUGUUCGAGCUUGUGGAGGAUGACUUAGACUGGGAUCUACCAUUCCUUUUCCUUACUAAUGGUGGUUCUCCCUUCACCUGUGGAACUUCAGAUUGCCCAACUAAUUCCAGGUGCUCCUAGUUUCUUAUUGGUUUGUGUUGUGAUUUUAGCUCAUAUGAACUCUGGGUCGAGAGAAUUAUGGGGACUCAUUUAUUAAUGGGUAAACGGUCAUUAUGCUUUUUCCUCAACAUUCAGGUUGUAGAUUAAGUUCUAAUUAGAGAAAAACUCUUUUAUGAAAUAAGAGUUAUACGAUGUAUUUUUUGUUCCUCAUGAAACCUCUAUACAUUUAAUCUGAUAAAAUAUUCUAAUUUUAUGAUGACUUGAUUCUUAUAAUUGCUGGCUUUACCUGGUGACUGAUUAUUCUUUUUUUGUAACUCAAAAGUAGUUGACUGGCUUUGUGUCGCUGCAGUCACAUAAUCCUGUACUUUUUUGCUUGCAUCCUUCAUUUCUUUUAGAAAAAGGAGUGAGUCACAAAGUCAUAAUCAACAAGAAUCUGUCAGAGCCACCUUCCCAUGCAUGUUGGGAAUAGAAUAUUCUUCUAGAGCACCGUAACUUUGCUUCUGAUUCUGACCUAUACUGGACUGGUAAAUUGCGGCCAGUAUGGAGAGAGUGUCAUAAUCAACAAGAAUCUGUCAGAGCCAAUUUCCCAUGCAUGUGGGGAAUAGAAUAUUCUUCUAGAGCACCGUAACUUUUCUCUGAAGAUUCUUACCUAUUCUGGAGUGGUAAAUUGCGGUCAGUAUGGAAAGUGUGUUUUCUACAUUGUUUUAACUCACUACAUGUCUCAACUGACUUUUGAUGUAUCCAUAUCUAAUAAUACCAUUAGUAUAUGUGGUGGAAUGCAAAAACAAUAGAUAGAAUACUGAAAUAAUGUUUAGGAUGUUUUUCUAGUCUCACAAAACCUUACUUCCUGGAUUGAGAAUGCUUGCAAACUCUGUCAAUUAUGAUAUCUUAUUAAUUUUUUGUUGCUUGAAAUGUUCAUUUUCAUCGAUCUAAAUUGGAUUAUUUGAUUUUAUUUAUGUGUUAAUUUUCUGAAGGUAUCCAUACUCUAGCUAAACAAGAAACAAUGAAACCCAGGCAGUUCCUGGAGAUUACAGAUGAAAUUGAAAAGCCUGGCCAAUUUCCAAGGAUAAUGAUAUUUAUUCUCUUAUGAGACCCUAGGACUUGCUACUGAUUUCCAAUAUGUAUGACUACAGGCAAAUUUUGGUGGGUGCUUCCCUGAAAGGGUCGAGAAGAUACCGGUGAUUAUCUUGCAAAGAUUUGAGUUGCUGCCUUAAGGUUGCUGCCUCCCUCUGCCAUAACUAGUUAAAGUUAUUGACCGCCUUCACAGAUAAGCUUUUAGUGCUGUUGGGUUGACUAAUUUUCUGAUCAUACUUCCAACCAUAUUUGUUUGUGCUAGAAAGCUUGAAAGAUGCAGUGUUUACAGUCAUAAUUUCACUUCUCACACCUCUUCAAGAUUGACUUGUGGAUGUGGAAAUCAAGGGAAGUGAUGCUUUGGGUUAGAAAACCAGGAGAAUCUGGUGAUUCUGGAGAUUCUCCAUGCGGUUCAGGUCUGACUCAUCUGAUUCAGGUUGGAUCAGCAAUUUUCAAUCACUGCCAAGGCAGGACAUGCUACGUUGGUGUAUUUUUAUUACAUGUGACCCACCUGACUAUAUGCAAUUUCUAGAGUAAGCCUUCAAUUCUCUUAUUGUGUCACCAUGUAUUACCAGUUUAUUUUCCCUUUCAAUCUGGAUAUAUGGAAAAUCUUCCUCUCGUGGGCCUUAGAUAUUUUAAACUUAUAGGAUGGGGUUUUUAUUUUCCCUGGUAUAAUAAGCUUUUUAUUUUUCUUAACAAAAAAUUUCUGAUUGAAGUAGUCAAAUUUGGCUUGAAAAAUGAAUAAAAAUCUUCUGAUCGAAUUUAUUGGCUUCAAUUUUAGGAAAAUUAACAUUGGAUCAUUGUGAGCAUGACACUGUAGGCGUUAUGCCACCGAGCAUAAUGAAUUCAAAUGCUUUGGAACUUCCAUCAUCAUCUGUGUUUGGGUUUUUUAUUCUGUUCUGGGAUCUUGCGGUCUAAAAAACUUCACUUGCUUAGUAGAGAAGCAAUGUAAAAACAAAAUAUUAAUGGCUAUGAUGAUGAACAUUAAAUACAUGAGAGCUUUUGAUUUUUUAAACUCACCAAACACUGGCAAGCUGCACUCAGUUAUUUUUUAUUUUUUUUACUUGUGACAACCUGUUUGUCCAAUGAAAUGGAGGGCUUGAACCUUGAAUGGUGACCCUCAUAUCAAUAAAAAAGAAAAAUUGGAGAAAGUGUGAAGAGGAUGGUAGGAAGUAGGAACCAGGCCCAAUUGGUGGAUACGUGAGCCAAUAUUGUUUGCUUUGGGAUCCUUCAAAACCUGAAUGUUGUAGAAAGUCAAGCUUUGGACAUACUUUUAUGAGUAUUUGUUCUCUAGACAUGAAGGCAUAACAAUGGAGUUGCUAUCCUCAAAAUGAUUUGACAAUUCCUACUUGGUUGCUCAAGAGGCAGUGAUUAAAUCACCUUUAGGAUACCACUGCCCAGUGAAGCACUGAGCUUUUUUUGGGUGAAGUGAAGCACUGACCUUUCUGUCAUAAUGUCCUGAUUUGCCACCUCUCGAGGGAAGAGUCACAUAGUACAUUAGUACAUGGUUAGAGGGAGACAAUACUGCUAAUAGAAAGUACCAAUUAACUCUCAGAUAUGAGAGUAACACACUUUCAGAGAGAUAGGGUGCACAGAGGCAACUCUUUUGCAGAGAAUAGAAGAGGAGAUCGGUUUUGGGUUUGGAUUAUUUUGUUCUCUAUCGAGUUUUUUAGGUCCCUUCUGAACUCAUUUGCAAUUAAGUGAAAUGCAUUGCCAAAUUUCUAAAAGGUCUGGCUGGAGCUUGUUCUUUCACAGUGUGCGAUUGGCACAAUGUCAGUCCACAGUCCAGAGCAUCUCACACACUCCCCUGUCAUGGUUGGCAUAUAUCAUCACAAUCCUUUGCACAUGCAUACAUGCUCUAAGCAUCUGAAGCAAAGGGAUCGUAUAGGGGUCUUCCAUACAUGGUGCACUAUUCACACAUCGCUGAGGCCCACAAUGCAACAUGAUGAUCCACAUGCUACACCUCCCAGGAGCAUACCAGAGAUGCCAAGGUAGUUAUCACACUGUUCACCUUUGUAUACACAUGGUGGUGGUUAAUAUACAGCCACUAGUAAUCUACAUACAUUCACAGUGGUCGAUGCAUGGUAGACCAUGGGCUUUUUAUGUUGUGGUGUCACACAACCAUGGUUCCCACACUCCUGCAAUGAUCUGCAUAUACCACCGGGUCUUUUGCCACAACACAUACGUUCCAAGCAUGCGCAGCCAUGCAUACACAGCUGCACUUCGCACACCCCAAGUGAUGGUGGGGUUCUGUUCCACUAUGGUCCUAUGCUUUGUACACAAAUGCUCCAAGCAUUUGUGGCCAUGAGUAGCAGAUUUAAAGGGUGUCUACCAACACUCACAGCCAAACUGCUUGUGCACGUAUAUAGUGUAUGCAAACCUAUAUGCUCCAAGCAUGUGUGGCCAUCAGUCGCAAAAUGAAAGGGUGUUGACCCAUCACUCACAGCCAAACUGCUUGUGCAUUUUUAAAGUGCACAAAAAAUUUGCAAAAAGCCUCCAAGGCUUUCCCCCCCUCUCCCCCCUCCGGCAGGCAUUUGGAGCCAUAGUUGCUCAUGGAAGAACUGCCAUAUCGUUUCUCCCUCAUGGAUGUGGUGCUAAUUAUAAGUUUCCAUUUUUACAUUUGCUCAAACAAAUAUUAAACAAAGUUGUCUUGAAACAUAAAACACCAACAAAUAUGACUACCUAGCCUAGAAUAGGCAGAGAUCAGUCACAAGGAUAGAAGCACCAAGAAGAGAAGCACUGGGCGUGAAGAUAGUUGAAAUUGAAUCCCUGACCCAUUUGUAGAUGACGUGGUGAACAAUUAGUGGACUAGGGAUCAUACUUAUAUAGGAUUGACUCCCAAUGGGUUCCAACUCACAGUAGGAUAGAGAAAACAGGCAACCAGAAAAUAGAAGCUAAACGAGAUUCUCACCACAAUAACACACCUACCAAAAGAUAUAGAAGCUAUCUGCAAUGAUGUGAGAAAUGGGAUUCAAUGGGAGAAAUAUUGACCUUUACCUCUCCACUUUUUGAGUGAUAGUGUAAUAUGAAUCGCUUGCAAGUUACAGUGAAUACUACAGUGAAUACAGGACAGGAUGAUGAAUUGCUCCACAAAUAAAACUAAUAUCCAGUAGAAGAAGAUAAAAGAUAUAGCAAAUCAAUUGAAAACCAUGUGCAUGGAUUUUAGCCUGCAUUGUCAUGUGUAGUCUCCCAUGAGGUGUGCAUUAGAAGCUUGCCAACAUGCUUUCAACAAGCAUAUUGUUCUAAGAAACUUGCCAAGCAAACAUCUUUUGAAAUAGACACUAUGCAAAUAACAAGGAAGCUUAAUUUCUGGCUUAUAAACAUCUGUCAUUCACUAUCGCUUAAUUUGCCUUGUUUAUAUAGGACCAGCAGAUCAAAAUAUAUCAUGCAUCCAGAUAAUUACUGAGGAAAUUUCUUUGUAUUGCAAUUCUGAAGAUUAACUUAUAAAAUGCAUGAUUGAAUAUUGUGGAGUUGGAGCAAAACAAAACCAUCUAUUGAAACAAUGAAGGCCAUGAAAGUAACAGUUUGUAGGAAAACAAUCAGAUAUUAUGGUUUCAUUAUAGUUUUCCACACAAUCAUGGGUGUGCUACAUGUCACUAAAUGCUUGCAGAUAUUGACAGAUCUAUUAAUUGAAGAUUAUGCAUCAAGAGUGAAACUGUCAAUUUGGAAAUACCAGCAAAGAAAAACAACUACCUUGCUUCUAUUGAGUGGCAAGUCCCGUGGGUGCUAGCACCAUCUAGGUAGUCAAUAGUCCCUAAAGUUGUAGACAUAUAUUUGACUUCAUUUUGAAGACAGUUUCCAUUAUGUGUGACUAAUGAACAUAGCUCUCAUUUUAACUCACUAGUAUUGGACAGUCAUUGUGUUUCGUCUGUACUGUUGGGAGCUAUCCUUUUCACUAAUUUUUACCUCAAGCACGCACCAUAAUCCUUAUCCAUGCACAUUAGGAAUCUCUGGAAUACUGUUAUGUCGUUUCAAUAAUAUGCUAAUAUUCUAUAUGCAUAGUUGGAAUACCAGAUUAUAAAGCCCCACCCACUUCACCCUUUCUUACUCCCAGAGGCAUGAGAUUGCUGAUUCUAAUUUACGAUCAAUUCAAGUGGUUCCAUUCACCAGAGGGACACUCCAUGCUGUGACUCAAAUGAUAGGAUGGUAACCUGCAUUUAAAGUUAAAAUUUGCAAAGUCUUAAUAUGGACUUUUCCUCAAUGCACAUGAUGCAACGGGAUUUACAAAAUUUACACCACAGAAUGCCUUCUCUUACAAGCCAAGGCAUACGCUACCAGAUGGUCCACUCCUGUUGGCUCUACCACAAGCAAGUCAAGCUGAAAUGCAGCUGAGGCAUGUGCAGUAUACUGAAGAGUUUUAGAAUUAUCCUCUCUUACCCUGCUGUAAUAUAGAUGGUUAUAUUAUGCUCAGAGCUAGAAAUGCAUAUUCUUAAUAUUAUUUGACAGACUCAAAAGAUAGAAUGGUAACCCGCAUUUAAAAUUAAAAUUUGCAAAUUCUUAAUAUGGACUUGUCGUCUAUGCACAUGACGCAGAGGGAUUUACAAAAUUUACACCACAGAAUCCCUCCUCUUACAAGCCAAGCCAUGCGCGACCAGAUGGUUCACUGCAG